AAAUUCCACUGGCUGCAUAUCUAGACUCUCUUGAAUGGCUGCGGUGUCAAUAUUCCCAGUCAGCUAUGUCUUCUGUGCUGUGCAUGUUUGAUUUAAAUUUUACUUAUAUUGUUAUCGCUUUUAGUUUCUUCAUUGCACUUUCAUCUUUGUUGGCCAAUUCUUUCUUUUGAGUAUCUAUUUUCAUGAAAUGUGACAUCGGUUUAUUUCCAACCGACCAGGAGGCAACACAACUACACACUGUGUGAACUGAACCUCAGAUACCACUGGCCUGUCACCAACAGAUUUUGAAGCAAAUGAUGUGAUUGUUCACCGAUCAUCAGUGCAUCUGUUAUUUACAUAGUGAUUUGUGAACUGACAAGUUAGCAGCAGUUUCUGCUUUAUGCAAUUGUUCUGUUAAUAGACUGUGAUUGUGCCUAUUUGUACUCCUGAUUGGAUAAAAGGGUUAAGAAGAACAAAAUGGUUGGAGAGAUUUUUGAAUUUUUAUGAUAAUUAUUUGGUGUCCCAGGAUCUACUGAAUGUCUCAAGAGAGGAACUUUUUUCCACUUCACAAAUUCUAAUUUUUGACUUGAUAAAGAAUGAUGAAUAUUUGUCACACAGAUAUUUAAAUGGAAUCAGGGCUGUAUAUAACCAUGACAUAAUACUUUGUCAAAAAGUGAAAAGUUAAUCUGGUUGGUCAUCAGUUUCAGAAGGGAGGAUUUUAAAUGGCUUAAAAAUAAUAUAGUCACAUGACUUAAAUUCAAAAGAGGGUAUUUUUACCUGGGAUAUGGAGAAGAUGAUGACAAUAAUGUAGAACUUGAUUAGACAUCAACAGAGACUCAAUGCCUCCUGGAAAACACCUGAGAAAUGAUUGAAGCUCGCUCUGGUCUUGCCUGGAAUCAUGCAUAACAUUUGUUGCUGCUUGCAUGUGGAUUCAUUUUAGCAGUUUAUCAAUUUGGACAGGGAAUUUUGAAUAAAAAAUUUUGGCAGUC